AUACACUCAGUGCAUUAUAUCCUUUUAUUUUCAAUAAUACAGAGAAGAUUAGCAUGGCCCCUGCGCAAGGAUGACACGCAAAAUCGUGAAGCGUUCCACAUUUUU